AUUGAACGCUGGCGGCAGGCCUAACACAUGCAAGUCGAACGGUAGCACAGAGAGCUUGCUCUCGGGUGACGAGUGGCGGACGGGUGAGUAACGUCUGGGAAACUGCCCGAUGGAGGGGGAUAACUACUGGAAACGGUAGCUAAUACCGCAUAACGUCGCAAGACCAAAGUGGGGGACCUUCGGGCCUCACACCAUCGAAUGUGCCCAGAUGGGAUUAGCUAGUAGGUGGGGUAAUGGCUCACCUAGGCGACGAUCCCUAGCUGGUCUGAGAGGAUGACCAGCCACACUGGAACUGAGACACGGUCCAGACUCCUACGGGAGGCAGCAGUGGGGAAUAUUGCACAAUGGGCGCAAGCCUGAUGCAGCCAUGCCGCGUGUAUGAAGAAGGCCUUCGGGUUGUAAAGUACUUUCAGCGGGGAGGAAGGCGGUGAAGUUAAUAACUUCACCGAUUGACGUUACCCGCAGAAGAAGCACCGGCUAACUCCAUGCCAGCCGCCGCGGUAA
rnacentral:rRNA from 1 species